rnacentral:lncRNA from 1 species
AUGCCAGGCCAAAGCGCCAUUGACAUCAUACCAAAAAAUUCACUGUUCAGGUUGGGGCCAGGCGCCAAGCGAGACGAUGAAGCCCGGAUUUUGUUGUAAUUCGGCUGGAAGUUGGAGAUUUCGACCCCAUAUGUCCCCAACAUGUAUGAAAAGGGAUCUAAACUUAUUUUUGAGGGGAUAGAACAUGAUUUGGAGAAGGGAAAAUACACCAUGCUUGGAGGAGGCAUCUAACUAGUUUUCUUCUUUUAUCUUCGUUUAAUUUCAUUCUUUAUUAGUUUUAUAGUUGUGG